rnacentral:rRNA from 1 species
GGGAGGCGGGUCAAAUCAAACAAACCUUUCCGUAAAGGGGGUACUGCGGAGGGAUCAUUACCGAGUUUACAACUCCCAAACCCAAUGUGAACGUUACCAAACUGUUGCCUCGGCGGGAUCUCUGCCCCGGGUGCGUCGCAGCCCCGGACCAAGGCGCCCGCCGGAGGACCAACCAAAACUCUUAUUGUAUACCCCCUCGCGGGUUUUUUACUAUCUGAGCCAUCUCGGCGCCCCUCGUGGGCGUUUCGAAAAUGAAUCAAAACUUUCAACAACGGAUCUCUUGGUUCUGGCAUCGAUGAAGAACGCAGCGAAAUGCGAUAAGUAAUGUGAAUUGCAGAAUUCAGUGAAUCAUCGAAUCUUUGAACGCACAUUGCGCCCGCCAGUAUUCUGGCGGGCAUGCCUGUCCGAGCGUCAUUUCAACCCUCGAACCCCUCCGGGGGGUCGGCGUUGGGGAUCGGCCCUUUACGGGGCCGGCCCCGAAAUACAGUGGCGGUCUCGCCGCAGCCUCUCCUGCGCAGUAGUUUGCACACUCGCAUCGGGAGCGCGGCGCGUCCACAGCCGUUAAACACCCCAAACUUCUGAAAUGUGACCUCGGAUCAGGUAGGAUGCCCAGUCCGAA